rnacentral:rRNA from 1 species
UACGUAGGGGGCAAGCGUUGUCCGGAUUUAUUGGGCGUAAAGCGCUCGCAGGUGGUUCGUUGCGUCGUGCGUGAAAGACCCCGGCUCAACUGGGGAGGGUCGUGCGAUACGGGCGAACUGGAGGCCAGUAGGGGGAUGCGGAAUUCCAGGUGUAGCGGUGAAAUGCGUAGAUAUCGAGAGGAACACCUGCGGCGAAGGCGGGUAGCUGGGCCGACACUGACGCUGAGGCGCGAAAGCCAGGGGAGCGAACGGG